UGUGCCUGAGCCACAGAGUGAGACUCCAUCUCAAAUAAAUAAAUAAAUGAAUAAAUAAAGGAAGACUGCAAAGAGGAGUGAGGGUCCCUCCAAAAGCUUGGAAAUAAAGUAAGCAGAUGAAUUGAACCUUCCAUGGAACUAAAGAUUAUCAAUAAAUGUGUCUUGCAUGUGAGAAUGGUUCAUACUAGUCACCUGAUUUGGGUGUGUAAGUUGGAGAAGACGUGCUUGGAAUGUGACUGUAAUUAAGAAUGGUUAACUCUUUAAUUGUACAGGCUGAAGAGAGAAUAUGAGAGAGGGGACAUGGGGGAAUUCAGAGGGCAAGAAUCUGAUGUAUAGUCAGCACUGAAGACCUGAUGAUGAACUCAAGUCUCAGAAAAGAAGGUAGCUUGCCCAAGUCACAUGGCCUGAUGGAAAGACGCCAGGAAAGAUCGAAGCAUCUACCCUGAUGGGUUACACCAGAGCUUCUAGAAGGG